rnacentral:lncRNA from 1 species
AUGUUGCCUGUCUUUGCUUUGCUGUCUUUUAGUCCCUGCUUCUCCCCUCCUUUUUCAUAUGUCCUGGGGGAACUUUUAUUUUCAUCUAGUUCAGGGUUCCUUUACCUCUACACUCUUGAGCUCACGGGUUCAAUGAUCAUUUGUUGCAGGCAGGGGCUGGGGUGUCCUGUGCUUUGUAAGAUAUUGAGCAGAUGCAUCCUUGUUUUCUCCUCACCAGAUGCCAGUGCACUACUCUCCCGGCUGAAAUGGAUGGAAAUAUCUCCAGACACAUGCCAAUAUCCCUCCAGGAGCCAAACAAUACACCCUCCCCUCCAGUUUGGCAACACAGUGACCAGGUUUUCUUUCUGGAAAUGAACCUGCUUCCAUGAUGAACAUUCCUCUUUUCCUGCCUUCCUGAAACCAAAGGAUGGUCCUUUAGGACUUUGCAUCCUGAACAAAAGAGACAAAGAUGGAAAAAUAGUUGGAGUACAUUCAUUCCAAGGUAUGGUCAAAACUAUUGGUGAUUUCCUGCCGCCUAGAACCCUGGAAUUGCCCACUUUCUGCUGUUUUCACACUUGGUUUUCUAGUCUUCUCUCAGAUUCAGUAAGCUAAACUCCUGGAGCCUCUGCUCUUUCCUCCUGAUGCCUUUUAUUUGGUGCCUGCUUCUCCCUUGGACCUGUCCCCUCUCCUCUCCUCCCCCCUUCCCCCUGGCACCCGGCUCUUCACUUGAAGCUCAACCUAGUCGUCUGGUGUUCAACUCUCUUGCUCCAGGUGGCUGGCUGCGUGUCUGUGCCUCUCCCCAACCCCACCCUCUAGACUGCACACUCCCUGAAGGCAGGGAUAAGAUCUAGUUCACUUUAGGAUUUGACUUCCAGCACCGAGCAUUGUGUACAGCGUGUGCGGUUUCUGAAUGCACGAUUAUUGUUGCUGUUGUUUAGAGGUCCAGCAAGGUACUGGGAACUAUUGCAAAAUUAUCACAGAACAGACAAAGCAGAAGGCAGAGCGGAGCGAUUCCUGACGCAUCUUCAGACCGUUUCUCAGAAUCCUGCCAGUGGACAGAUGUAGAGAGUCCUCGUUCUUCAGUGAGCCCUGGCUCCUGCAGCCACCCUCUCCUCUGCAUCACAUUUUUCACUGCACCGUCUUCCUCCUCUCCUUCUUCCCUCUUCCUUGCUGUCAUCACCACCCUUUUCUUCAUCGUCAUCAUUAUCCUCAUCACUGUUAGCUCUUUUUGUGUACUUAUUAAUACUACGUGCCAGGCCUGUUAUAGGUAAUAUCUAAGAGGAUAAGCUUCUUGCCCAAGAUUAUAGCUAAUUUCAUAGCAAGGUUAGGACUCAAACGGAAGUCAGCUUGACCCCAAACCUGUGUUCUUGACCCU